AAACUUCCUAAUUCUAUAAUGAAAUAUAAUUCCAGAGUUGAGUCUUCUUUUAAUACUACAACAUUCUACCCAAGUUGGAGAAAACUUGACCUUGAGUCUUGUAGUCUGGAGGAAUCAAGAACUAGAUUUAGAGAAUAAGCAACUUUGUUUUCUUGGAUGAUAGCAAUGAGAUUGAAACGAAAAACUUCAUUCUUUCCUUUGCAUUUCUGGAAACAUCUGAACAUAGAAAAGUAAUCACAACUACAACUACAGGACGCUUCAACUCAGUAGGAACAAGGGAAUUUUAAAAUCCUUCAAUUUUCGUCGUUGUUCCCUGUUACAUAUCAGCUUGCACACUUAAUAAAACAGAGGAAAAGGAAGAGAGAGAUAGAAAUAGAU
rnacentral:misc_RNA from 1 species